rnacentral:rRNA from 1 species
CAAGGAAUUUUCCGCAAUGGGCGCAAGCCUGACGGAGCAACGCCGCGUGGGGGAGGACGCUUUUCGGAGUGUAAACCCCUUUUCUCAGGGAAGAUGAUGACGGUACCUGAGGAAGAAGGACCGGCUAACUACGUGCCAGCAGCCGCGGUAAUACGUAGGGUCCGAGCGUUGUCCGGAGUUACUGGGCGUAAAGCGCGCGCAGGUGGUCCACUAAGCCCGGCGUGAAAGCCCCCGGCUCAACCGGGGAGA